rnacentral:lncRNA from 1 species
CUCAGUUACAAGUAGUUGUAUCCUUAUGCAUCUUGAGUUCAUAUUGCUCCCUGUCUCUGUAAUGGAGAUAUUUUGGAAUUCUUCUAUGAAGGGAAUGCAGAGGAGAAACAAUGAAUAACUGUAUUGAAUACACAUCGCCAACUCUACUCCUUUCCGUUGAGUCAAAGCUGAUUGCCAGUCCCUGUGGCAAAGUGUGUGUGUUGCAAUCUGGAGUUGCAGAGGGAUGGAGUUACACCAGAGACAAAGGUGUGGAGUCUGACCUCUCCAGCAGCAGAUUCCAGUCCCUGAACAGAGAUGGUUCACAACAACAUGGAGGCAACCUGCUUUUACAAGGAUUUCUAUCUGAAUGAACAGAUAUUACUUAUGGAACAGACUACUUCGGCAGACUGUAGAAGAACUGUGUGUAAUUAACACCAAAAAGAAAUUGAUUUGAGAAGACAAAGGCUCUCAUCAAAGGAUAACAUGGUAAGGAAAAAGACAAGGCUGUUGAUAAAACUUUAAUGGGAACUGGCAAAAAAGAACCGCCACAGCUGUAAAUUUUGGCAUAAUGUUGAGUGUUAUUAGAAGAGCAGAGUCAAACUGUGCUAUGUUAAGAAAUUUGCUUCUCUUCUAUGAUUU